CGCUAUCACUCCUACGGGAGGCAGCAGUGGGGAAUAUUGCACAAUGGGGGAAACCCUGAUGCAGCCAUGCCGCGUGUGUGAAGAAGGCCUUCGGGUUGUAAAGCACUUUCAGUAGGGAGGAAGGUAGUGUAGUUAACACCUGCAUUAUUUGACGUUACCUACAGAAGAAGCACCGGCUAACUCCGUGCCAGCAGCCGCGGUAAUACGGAGGGUGCGAGCGUUAAUCGGAAUUACUGGGCGUAAAGCGCAUGCAGGCGGCCUGUUAAGUCAGAUGUGAAAGCCCCGGGGCUUAACCUCGGAAUUGCAUUUGAAACUGGCAGGCUAGAGUCUUGUAGAGGGGGUAGAAUUUCAGGUGUAGCGGUGAAAUGCGUAGAGAUCUGAAGGAAUACCAGUGGCGAAGGCGGCCCCCUGGACAAAGACUGACGCUCAGAUGCGAAAGCGUGGGGAGCAAACAGGAUUAGAUACCCUGGUAG
rnacentral:rRNA from 1 species